CUCUCAGCUUGCAAGAAAUGCAGACGUUUGAAAGAGUGGGAUCCAGCAGAGCUAUUGAAAUAAAGCAUCAAGUUCAGAAGAAAUGGACAGGUUUGUGAUCCUGCUCUAUGAUUUUGUUAAGCUGAGAUUAAGAAGGUGAUGAAAGAAGCAACACAACUAGAGUCCUGUCUUCACAUUGUGAAGUAAAGGAGCAAUCUUCUAUCACAGAUGAAGUUAUUCUUUUACAGAUAAUGGUGUUUUUUCCACCCUUCUCCAAGAUUAAUGCCACCUGCAACAGCUUUACCAUGAUGACAUUUCUUAAAAGAGGUUAAUGUUGUCCGGUAUAUCUAGCUACAACCAGCUCUCUGUAUAUACUGCUGGUCACUACUUUCCCUGAUGCAUGACAACCCAAGCUUUUUCAUUGGGACAAGAUUUCAUGAGCAAUUUUACACAAGCAACUUCUGGUGUCUGACCAGGAGAACCAUCAAGAAUCUACUUCUCUGAAUAUUUAUGAACACAUGAUGGAACAGCUCCAGCAAGAGAUUGAGCAAGAGCUUCCCCAUGGAAAGAAAACAUGCCCUGGAUCAGGUUGCUCAGCCACUCCAUCUCAGCUCUUUAUGACUCACUGAGCAGCAGGACUGGGACAGUGAUUUCCAACGCGAGCACCAGGAGCUCUGGACCAGAAGGUGUUCAGAAGGGAGCUGCUCUAGCAGAGGAUGUUGGGAGAUACCUGUCUGAAGUCUCGCAGUUAGACUGCCUUCAUCACUUGGAAGUGAUAAGAGGGUAAGCUACAAAGAGUGAGUCUCUGGCAUACCAACUAAGUGACAUUACCAGCAUUUCUGCCCCUCUGAAAUAUUUAUUUAUAAAAGUGCAACAACUCUAGUGAGAAUACAAGAGGGAUACAACAGACUGCACAACUGCACAGAUAGUUCAGUACUGCCCUGAAAUCUGUUGACUCUAAUUCAAGUUCUCAUCUAUUGGAUUUAAGAUCAGUCUCACAAGGAAAUGAGCAACCAAAUGUCUAGGUUGCUGAUUGUUCUCUCAAGAUCUCCUGUUCUAAAUUUGUGUUUCUGCAAAAAUACGUAAAAACAUUGAGUCCCAUUGAUUACAAAGCAGUUUCCUCUGCAAUUGCUUCUUACAAGACCACUGUGGAAAGGCUGGUCUCGACUUCGAGCUGAAAUCCCACAGUAGAACUCUUAGGGAAAAAUCAACUGUUCUUUCUUUCAACAGGGAAUCCUGCCUCUCUGCUUCAGGGGAUGUGAAUUAAGGCUCAGAAUAGCACUCCCCAAAAGUGUCUUUCGUUAGUUAUGGAGGGAAAGCAGGGAUGAUCUUGUCUCCAGACAUAAAGGUCAGAAGGCAGAAGUGCACCUUCUUCCAUCUCAGUAGAAAUACUUUUAUAGGCAAUGGAAUGCCAAACUAUUGCAAUAAAUUGCAUACCAGUAUAUCUUCAUAUAAAUAUGUAUGUGCUUUUAUGGUGGUUAAUAUGUCCAGGAUACAGUGUUUAUACAAUGACCUAUCACUUUAGGUACUGAGAUGGAUUUAUUGUAACAUUUUGGCAUUCGGUUUUCUAUUAUAUAAAUAUCUAAAAAUUCAGUUUACUACAAUAUACUGUCCUUAUUUUCUUCUAUCCCUCUCCCAACCAUUAUGUUGACAAAAAGAUCUCCCAACACAGGAAUAACAGUAUAAAUAGGCAGUGUAAGCCAUUUAAAAUAUGAAUAAACUAAUGCUAUCGUUCUCCUAAACAACCUGAAAUGAGCGUUCAUAGGGCAAAGUGAUGAAAUAGCUGAGCCAACCUGAGUCGUAGCUCUGGCCAAGAGGAACAGCCACGUACUCUCCCUCCCAAGCCCAUGCUCCUGGCUGUGCAUUUCCAGGCCUUCUCCUACACCAGCACAAGUGCUUGUCUGAUCCCAUUGGCAAGCUACCUCAGGUAGCAGAACUGGGGGAAAAACUGCAUGUUUAAGGUUGGUUUUCUGGCAGGUUAGCUCCUCAUACUGGUUCACCUUGUGGAGAGAUGAUGAUUAUUGUCAGUACAAAGAAAGGUGUGGGAAUGUGCAGUUGGAGAUGAAAAGGUGGGAAACCACCUCUGGUGGUAGCUCUCUCAGUUGGCUUGGCUCUUUUGGAUCCCAUUAUAAAUUAACAAGGUAUGUAUAUUUGAUUGACCAAAUUACAGUUUUUCACCUUUAAUUUAAUAAGGUACCUGUAAGUGCUUCAGUGCUUUACUCAGUUGCCUCAAGGUAGUAAAUGGUUUGCCACAAGAGCACAUGUGGUUCUUGGGAAGUACCAGGUAUUUUAGUCCAGGACAAUCACUUGUCAUAAGAACAAGUAUUUAUCUAAAAUCAAGAUUGUUCAGUUUUUCAGGAUAUUUUCUGUCUAGAUCUUUGUUGUAAAUGGUCACUGAAUUUUUUCAUGAUCUAUAUUUACAGUAUUUCUAGCAGCACUCAUCAUGAGAAAUCUACACGAAUGACCUUCUGAAAGCUCUCUGACUCCUUCAAAACACAAGGAUAUUGAAAAUUUGUGUUUGCAAGCAUGAGAAAUAAAAUGAAAACCUUACUUUGGCUGUCUAAAAAUAAAGCCAUAUGAAGCAAAGACCAUGCUGAAUAGCACUCUCUUAAAAUAAAUACUAUUUCCUUUGGCGCAAUAAAUGUUGUUUUAGAUUCUAUAGUUAAAAGCAUAAUUCAUUCCAUUGAGCUGUAACAUUUUGUUAAAUUGCAGAAACUUUAGAGGAACCAGCUAUUCAGUGUCUUCUAUAUUUGAACUGUUUACAGUUCUUUCUAAAUAUUUUCUGGAGAAGAAAAGAUUCCAUGUUCUGGGAUUUUUUUAAGUCUUUUCAGGUUCACUACUGAGAUCUGCCUUUCUGCAUCCAAUAGAUCAGCCACAAAUUAACCAUUUUUGUGGCCUCAGUGUAAACCUGAACCUUUAACUAAUCUUUAGAAGUUAAUCGAGUGGGCCAGAUCCUUGGCUGCCAUUCUGGCUGCUUUGGUCUACUCUGAAAGAGUUUGCAGAAAUUUAUGGGGUACUUAAAUGGCACCUAUGGAUUAUAGUUCUUUCUCAGCUCAGGAGUGAUCCACAUUUAGAGAGGAUUGCUGUAACAAGAAAAAAACCUCCUAACUGAAAUGUGUCCAAGCUAUUCAUCACUUCCCUUGUAUCUCUUCUUAUGGAAAUUCUCCAAAUCCUACGAGAAUGAUCUUGUAAACGAUUAUUUUCUUUCCUUAAUUUCCACAAUAAAAAUCAUACUUGGUAUUUCUGUCAGAACUCCUUAGUCCUGCCUUGGAUUUCUUUUUUUUUUUUUUUCUUUUCAGAGUGGGAACAGCAGAAAAAACAGAAGAUUUUUUUCUUUUUGAAACUCAGUUUGCAUCAUGCAUGCAUAAUGUCAUUCCUAAAUAGAACAUUC